AUUCGUCCAAUUGAAGCAGAGGACAGUGGCGGACGGGUGAGUAACGCGUGAGGAACCUGCCUUUCAGAGGGGGAUAACAGUCGGAAACGGCUGCUAAUACCGCAUAAGAUUACAGUACCGCAUGAUACAGUGAUCAAAGGAGCAAUCCGCUGAAAGAUGGGCUCGCGUCCGAUUAGAUAGUUGGUGAGGUAACGGCUCACCAAGUCGACGAUCGGUAGCCGGACUGAGAGGUUAAACGGCCACAUUGGGACUGAGAUACGGCCCAGACUCC
rnacentral:rRNA from 1 species